UGUGACUGUCCCGCAGAGCAGGUGGAGUUAACAGGGAUAAUAAAUGCUUGCCCUGACUGCCUUAUGGGAAUUUGGGGAGAAGCAAAUGAAAUGGCAGGUGCUAGAAGACUUGAACAGCUAAACACAAAAAGGUGUGUCUGUCCACAGCCCCAGGAUGGGGAGCUUCAUUGCAGAUUUCUCAGAGUGGGGGGGCAGAGAUAUUCUGACUAAUGGCAACGCUGGCGGCUGCAGAAGCUUCUCGGGCCACUCGGUUUCAGAACCCACCCACACGGGGCUGCUGGCUGCGUUCCAUCCUCGGCUGAAAGCCUAGUUCCCCCGCUUAAGGCUUCUAACAGGUUGCAAUUCCCCUAUAACACUUUUCGGUUUUAACUCUCACUCUUUUGAGUUCCCUCUUAUUUUCUCAAUUUGAGAACUUUUCCUCCUUGGCCUCAAGUUGGACUAUGUUUUUUACAUUUGCUGGUUGCUGGUUUUCCCAUUGUUCGUCCAUGAUUUCUAUGGUGUUUUGAAUAAGGGUGGCAUCUUCCACAUCACCUCUGUCUGCCCUGCUCUCCGGAGGGCAGCAAGCACGUGCGUCCCGAAGGAACCUGUAAAACCUCAGCAGAAAAGAAUGGCUCUCGGGCAGGCUGGGCCCUCCAUAGGUACAUGGGUGACGCUGGGCUGAGCUGGCUUAUUUUCGGCUCUCAGAUCAUUCUACAUGACGCUUCAAUGUGGAAAAGUGAGCCCUGCUUGGCAACCCGACUGACACUUCCACUCCACUGCCUCUCUUUUGACUGCUGACGGCACUGAGCGCCUGCCCGAGCCUCCCGGAUCAGCUCGGCUCCGAUUCCCAGCUGGAACGGGCUUCUCAGCCACCCAUGUGGAAGGCUCCGUCCAUCCCCACGGCAGACACGGCGUCCCCGCUUCGAGCUGUUGCCGCUGGAACACCCAAAUAUCCACGUGUUCAGAAUCAAUGUCCUCUUUCUCACCACUUGGUCGGUGGCUGGACUUAAUCACUUUAACUAGAAUACGAGAUUGAAGUUAAAGGUAUAUGAAGAUGUAAAAGACUUACAAAAAUUAUCAGAGAUGUUGUGGGUUUACGGACCAAUCAUGCAUAAAAUACAGGAUUCCCAUACACCACCCCUGGCACUGGUGUGGGACAGUUGCUGUAAUUGAUGAUAGCACUUUUUAAUAAUUGUACUUUUUUUAUGCAAUUUAUUCCGAUAUAUUCACACAUC